AAAAGCACAGAUGUUUAACUGGUAAACAGUCAAAUGAUGUAUUUAGACAGCUGACUCAUAACUGCUCCACAUGUUCACGUCACUGCCAAAUUUAAAGCCUCUAUUUAACGCAAGUGUUUUAGUUCUUGUUGAAACAGACUGAAGAUUUGUUCUCUAAACUAGACUUUAUCACUGAUCCGUGUGGACGACCAACUCUUUGAUUUCAUUAGAUUAUCAAAAUAUAACAGAGAGAAAGUGAAGAACUGUCACACACUCAGGCUCCACUUUCAGUCUAGUUUAAUGAGAUGAUGUUUCUGCCCCUCAGGCCUUCUUCAAGAUCAGGACACACUGAAACACAGCCACUCAUGUUAUAACGGCCGCCCCCAAGUAACAACCUCCAACACUGAUGUGAGGACAAAACAAUCAAGGAGCCGACUGUGACUGAAUAUAGUGACAGGACACAAACUUCUUCUACAGUAAAAAGAAGAAAAUAAUGUUUUACACCACAUGUCAGGAUUCAGACUCGACAAUACUUUACACAUGCGUGAUUCGAUUCUAAGAGGAGUUUGAAGUGGUACUGAAUACCAAGCAGUACAUCUGCAGAACUGGGUUUCCAGAGCAGCGAGCUGAGCAGGUCGUCUGGCGGAUUUGACGGUUAAGCUAGCAGGAUGACGAGCGCACACCCACCGCUGCAGGUCAUGUGCUGCCCGAACACCAACGUUAGCUCACACCGACGGAGAGCGUCCGUG